GUAGUCCACACUGUAAACGAUGAGUACUAGAUGUCGGAAGUUCUUACCCUUUCGGUGUCGCAGCUAACGCAUUAAGUACUCCGCCUGGGGAUUACGGUCGCAAGAUUAAAACUCAAAGAAAUUGACGGGGGCCCGCACAAGCGGUGGAUUAUGUGGUUCAAUUCGAUGCAACGCGCAAAACCUUACCUGGGCUUGACAUCCCACGCUACCCUAUGAAAGUAGGGGUUCCCUUCGGGGACGUGGUGACAGGUGCUGCAUGGCUGUCGUCAGCUCGUGUCGUGAGAUGUUGGGUUAAGUCCCGCAACGAGCGCAACCCUUGUCAUUAGUUGCCAGCAUUUAGUUGGGCACUCUAAUGAGACCGCUUGCCGAUAAGGCAGA
rnacentral:rRNA from 1 species